rnacentral:misc_RNA from 1 species
CUUAGUUAUGGAACGAAUAUUUGUAUCCAGUUUUGAGAGAUUUAUCUCUCUUCUGUUCUUUGAAAACUGAAUAUCGACAUUGAUAUAUUAAAAUUAAUAUUUCAAAGUUUAGAUCAACCUAUAGAAUAUUUAUAAAAAAAAGACAACAAUAGGUCAUACAACAAACAAAAUAUAACGAAACAACUAUUAAACAAGAUAAGAGUUUUUGG